rnacentral:tRNA from 1 species
UGGCUCAGUGGUAGAGCGCUUGCCUCACAUGCAUGAGGCCCUGGGUUCGAUUCCUCUG